AGGCAGAAAGGUCAAGCUGGGCAAUGAAUUCGGCCCAACCCGAUUCCAAGUCGGGUCAGGCCCAUUUUCUUUGCCAUUUAAUGAAAAAAUUCGGCCUUCUCUUUCAUUUUCAGACCUCAACAAACCCAGAAAUUUCAGAGGUAGAGAGAGAGAGGAGAGAGAGAGAAAGAAACCAAAUUUUGACCACAAUCUAAGCCCCGAAUCGCGAAGCUCCUGAAGAGAAAAGUGUUGUACGUCGCGUUGCCUUCAAUUUGAGCUAAAAAUCAGCCAAGAAAGAGAGGGUGGAAGUGGUUGCUGCAUAUUUAAGGUAACGACGUGACAUUGGGGAAGAGCAAGUGAACGAUAACAUAGCUAAACGACAAAGGGAAGUAAGGUGGAAGAAGAUUAUUUCUUGGCAUAUAAGACCCGCGAGCUCGAGAAGUAGACGUUGGACAUUAGAUAGAGUUCAAGGUAGACAGGGAGGUGAGCUUGAUCUAGAUUCUUAGUAGUUGUCAGCUGAUGGAGAGCACUCCAUUGUUCGGAGGUGCUUAUGCUUAUUCUUUUGGUUCAUAUAUGUAUUUCGCGCACGACGGAGUUUGGUUUCGUUUAUAUGUAUAAUAUGUCGGUAGAGGCUCGUAGACGCGCAGUGUGGGUUAGAUGGUUUCGCAAGAUUACUAUGUUAUAUUUGUAUAUGAUAUUUUGAUAGCCUAAGGGGCACAUGUAUAUAAAAUCAUUGGUGUUUUUUUUAAAUGUAAAAUGGGUAUGACGAGUGAGGAAACGAGCGGUGCUCGGUGGUUAGCCCCGGGUACCCGUUGCGGCCCUAGUCGGGUCGUGACACACCUUAUGUACUAAUUCCUUCAAGGUGAGGCAGAAUGUCAAUAAUUGCUCCAUAAUGAAAUCGGGGGAUCACGACCUUACGCCACCCCGACAGAGUAUAGUUGAUCUUGAGUCUUAUGCAUGUACUAUGAUAAGCAUAUUAUGAUAAGCAUAUUAUUACAAGUAUUUUUUAUGAGCAUGUCAUGAUCAUAUUACACCGCGCCUAGUUGGCCGGGCAGUCACCGCCAAGGCGGGCAGCUAUACGGAUACACCAUGACCUUUUGGCAUGGGCAGACACCACUAGUGGGCGGCAUGAGAUGGUACCCCGGACGCGGGAGGCCUGGACACGGGCUAAUGUUAUUGAUUAUUACACCGUUCCGAUAUGGACGGGCAGCUUGCAUAUUAUGCAUAUAUGAAAUUAUGAUGAGUAUGAGUAAGACAUCAUGCAUUACUUCUUUUAUGAUUGUCAUUCAGAUUCAGAUGUUUCAUAUUGAUGUUCACAUUAUAUUAACACUGUCUUUCUUUAUUAUUUAUGCCUCUCAUACUCAGUACAAUGUUCGUACUGACGUCCGUUUUCU